CCGGGAUAUAGUUCAGUGUUAGAACACUUGCCUGGCAAGUACAAAGCCCUGGGUUCAAUCCCCAGUACAGGG
rnacentral:tRNA from 1 species